GAGAAAUACUCGCCUAGUGAGCCCUAACUAGAGUUAAAAAAGUCCUACCUCCAUCUCCGUGGGCCCCAGCACCAGCCGACGGCCCGCAGCCUCCCAAAGACUCUGCCACGCCACUCUCCCCGCAGCCGCCCAGCGAAGAACCAGCCACAUCCCCCUGGCCUGCUGAGCAGUCCCCAAAAUCACGCACGUCCGAGGAGAUGGGGGCUGGAGCCCCCAUGCGGGAGCCUGGGAGCCCAGCUGAAUCCGAGGGCCGGGACCAGGCCCAGCCGUCCCCGCUGCUCCCCUGGCUAAGGCCCUGCCCUGCCCUCAGCCAGAGGUGCCUGGCCAUGCCUGCACACUCCUCCCCAUUUUAAUAAAUGGUCGCAACUUCUAGAA
rnacentral:lncRNA from 1 species